rnacentral:rRNA from 1 species
UACGGAGGGUGCAAGCGUUAAUCGGAAUUACUGGGCGUAAAGCGCGCGCAGGCGGAUUAUCAAGUCAUGUGUGAAAGCUCCCGGCUAAACUGGGAGAGGUCAGAUGAUACUGAUAGUCUGGAGUGCAUCAGAGGUAAGUGGAAUUCCGCGUGUAGUGGUGAAAUGCGUAGAUAUGCGGAGGAACACCAGUGGCGAAGGCGGCUUACUGGGAUGCAACUGACGCUGAGGCGCGAAAGCAUGGGUAGCGAACGGG